rnacentral:lncRNA from 1 species
UGGGAUGUAGUCUGUAUAAAUUAUUUUGAUUAAUUUAAACAAUUCCUAUUAAUUAAAAUUUAAAAAAAAGAAACGGAAAUACUGUAACAUUUCUGAUUUUGGUUCUGUUGUUAGGGAUUUAAGUUGGGACGUUAUUUUAGUUAUGAAGUCAUAUAUUCAAUGUAAACAAAGACACGCUGUCAUCAUGGUCAUCAGGUAAUGUUUUUUUUCUGAUCAAACAAUUAUUAAAAAGGAAUUGACUUAAGCUUCCUUCCUAUAUUUUACUACACUGAUAAUUAUAGAUUUUAUUCAAAGUCUCAUGCAAACAAGACCGGAAAAAAUAAUUUCUGCGCAGAUGCCGGGAUUUAAAAAUGUCUGAAAAAAAAAGGUUAACGAUUUUGAGUUCAUUAGUAUUUCCUGAAUUAUUAUUUAAAAAAAAAAUCAAAAAAAUUCUACUGUAAUUGGGGACUACGUUGCCAUCUUAAGGGAACGACCAUUUUACUUUCAGGGGGUUGGGGUUCUCUUAAAAAAUAAUUUUGAUAUAGGCCUAGAUAAAAAAUAUUCUGAUAUCAAAAAAAAAAAAAAAAGGCACUGGCAAAUUUUGCUAUUUUGCUGGCUCUGAUUAAAAUAUCUUAUUCAAGCAGACAAAAUAGCCUGUUACCAGAGAAAUGGCUAUUUUAACAGCAC